GUGGGGAAUUUUGGACAAUGGGCGCAAGCCUGAUCCAGCCAUGCCGCGUGCGGGAAGAAGGCCUUCGGGUUGUAAACCGCUUUUGUCAGGGAAGAAAAGCUCUGGGCUAAUACCCCGGGGUCAUGACGGUACCUGAAGAAUAAGCACCGGCUAACUACGUGCCAGCAGCCGCGGUAAUACGUAGGGUGCAAGCGUUAAUCGGAAUUACUGGGCGUAAAGCGUGCGCAGGCGGUGAUGCAAGACAGAUGUGAAAUCCCCGGGCUCAACCUGGGAACUGCAUUUGUGACUGCAUCGCUGGAGUGCGGCAGAGGGGGAUGGAAUUCCGCGUGUAGCAGUGAAAUGCGUAGAUAUGCGGAGGAACACCGAUGGCGAAGGCAAUCCCCUGGGCCUGCACUGACGCUCAUGCACGAAAGCGUGGGGAGCAAACAGGAUUAGAAACCCUAGUAGUCC
rnacentral:rRNA from 1 species